UCUGGUCUUGUCCUCUGUAUAGGAGUUUCGACAGGCUGCCCACCACCUUCGAACCUAGGGGGGAGCAGAGUGGUUUCAUUCUUCUGUAAUUGGAUUUCCAACACAUGGACCACCGACACCGCCGAAACUUGAGGCUGCAGAUAUAUCAUCUUAUCUUAAUAGCUACACCACAACUACAAACACUGCUG